AAAAAACUCUGAAUUUCAAAAUAAAAUGCAGGUGAAAUGGUUUACUACGCUGUUGAAUUUCAGUAUAAAAUGCAGGUGAAAUGGUUUACUACGCUGUUGAAUUUCAGUAUAAAAUGCAGGUGAAAUGGUUUAAAACCCUGUUGAAUUUCAGUAUAAAAUGCAGGUGAAAUGGUUUACUACGCUGUUGAAUUUCAGUAUAAAAUGCAGGUGAAAUGGUUUAAAACCCUGUUGAAUUUCAGUAUAAAAUGCAGGUGAAAUGGUUCAGAUGUUCAGAGCAGGAUAUGGUGAAGUUAAUUGACAACCAGUCCACUUUAGUCUUAAUAGGCUUAUCUACAGCUCUGAUUGGAGGGUGCUCUGACCAAUCACUUAACGGCUAUUAGUAAGACACUCACUACCACUCCUCUCCUCUCCAACACACAUUAGCUGUGAAAGGCUGGAUGGAGAGGGAGGGAGAGAGAGACUGAAGGAGGGAGAGAGAGACUGAAGGAGAGAGGGA
ensembl:lncRNA